UACUCUCCCUGUGUUCUGUGGUUCAGGUAGAUUCAGUCUUUACACUCAGAUAACUAACACUGUCUUUUUUCAGACUGAGAGAGAAACCUGAUUGCUGCUUUGGCUGACUACCUGAACUCUGACCCCUGCUCCUGCUCUGACUGACCCAGAGAGAACUCAGACGCAGAGAGAACCGGACCAGAACUCCUGCUUGGCUGGUGAUCAGAUUUUUAGUCACUGAGGUUCAGUCCAUCACAUCACUGAGUAUAGGAGUGUUUCACAUUUUAAUCACAGAGUUUUUGUGGUUUAUCACAACUGCUGAGUUCACACAUGAAUAUAAAUGUAGUGAAAACAGACCUGUAAACACUGACUGAAGUUAGAGCC